rnacentral:rRNA from 1 species
CAGUCGCCGCGGUAAUACGAAGGGUGCAAGCGUUAAUCGGAAUUACUGGGCGUAAAGCGUGCGUAGGCGGUUUGUUAAGUCUGCUGUGAAAUCCCCGGGCUCAACCUGGGAAUGGCAGUGGAUACUGGCAAGCUAGAGUGUGUCAGAGGAUGGUGGAAUUCCCGGUGUAGCGGUGAAAUGCGUAGAGAUCGGGAGGAACAUCAGUGGCGAAGGCGGCCAUCUGGGACAACACUGACGCUGAGGCACGAAAGCGUGGGGAGCAAACAGGAUUAGAUACCCGAGUAGUCCCUGUCUCUUAUAU